rnacentral:snRNA from 1 species
GUGCUUGCUUCAGCAGCACAUAUACUAAAAUUGGAACAAUAUAGAGAAGAUUAGCAUGGCCCCUGAGCAAGAAUGACUUCACAAAUUCGUGAAGUAUUCCAUAUUUCU